UACAGAGGUCCCGAGCGUUGUUCGGAUUCACUGGGCGUAAAGGGUGCGUAGGUGGUGAGGUAAGUCGGAUGUGAAAUCUCCAAGCUCAACUUGGAAAUGGCAUUGGAAACUACCUUGCUGGAGGUUUGGAGGGGGGACUGGAAUUCUCGGUGUAGCAGUGAAAUGCGUAGAUAUCGAGAGGAACACCAGUGGCGAAGGCGAGUCCCUGGACAAAACCUGACACUGAGGCGCGAAAGCUAGGGGAGCAAACAGG
rnacentral:rRNA from 1 species